rnacentral:snoRNA from 1 species
CCUGCCCCUUGAGGCAUUGGGGAGGGUUGCUAUGACACAAAUUCAUCAGUAGGUCGCAGAGAAGAGAGAGGCUAUCUUCACUCAGUGUUCUGACCUAUGAACAUCUGAAUGCUUAACAUUCCCUGAAA